GUAGGGAAUACUGGGUAAAUCUGGACCCUUCCUUGAUUACAAACUGGUCACCAAGGAAGGCCUAGCCCAAACCACCACAACAGGCAACUGUGCUCUGAUAAUACUUUCAAAGAACUCCUACAGAGAACUCCUUUCCCAGGAUCUCACAUUUUCAGAUUUUGAAACAAAACGCCAAAAAUAAAAUGGAAAAAAAAAGUAAAAAAACUCUUCAUCUCUUACUGGAUUUCAGGACAGCCCACAGAAGACCCCACAUCGGAGCAGGUGGACAGAGCUGUGACCCUGUGGGAAGCCCAUGCUGGAGCAGGCUCCUGACAAGACCUGUGGCCCCAUGGAGAGAGAAGCCCACAGUGGAGUAAGGAAAGAAUGUGAGGGAGGAGUCCUCCCACUGAGGAGGAAGGAGCAGCAGGGAUGUCUGAUGAACUGACUGUAACCACUGUUCUCUGCCUACCUGUGCUGCUAGGAGGAUAGAGGUGGAGAAUUCAGGAGUGAAGCUGAGCCCAGGAAGAAGAGAGAAGUGGACAAAGGAUAUUUUAUUUCUCAUUACCCUGCUCUGAUUUGAUUGGUAAUA